AGAAAAAUCCCCAUGAGACUCUUAUCUCCAAUUAACCACCAGAAAACCAGAAGUGGUGCUGUGCCUCUACGUGGCAGAUCACUAGCCUAGAGUGAAAAAGCUGAGAGACAGC